rnacentral:rRNA from 1 species
AUGGAGUUUUGGACACAAAUUUUAGAUCUCCCUCCAUACCAGAAAAUUGUUGGCAGGAGAGAAGUUUCACGUCAACCUCCACCGCCGUUGCGGCCAGCUCCCGAUUCCGGCCGUCCCCACCGCCGCCGACCAGCCGGCCGACGUCCCUAUGCUUCCUUGCCUCAUCGGCCAUUGCGCCCCUCGAGCUCAUGGUUGGCCGUGGUAGCUCCACCAUGGAUGCGGGCUCGAGGUCGCCACCUGGGCCCGACAGCCGUCGUGCCCCUCAAGCUCCUGGGUGGCCGCAGCAGCUCCGCCAUGGAUGUGGGCUCAAGGUCGCAGCCAGGGUCAGAUGACCAUCGAGCAACGGAAGUGGUGGAGGCUGGGGCGGCUGCUUGUGUGGGUGAUUUGGGGGAAGAAGAAGACCAUGGAAAAAAGAGAAAGGAAACAAAUAAAAGCACCGAUAGAUGGAAUGUUCGUUUUUACUGUAGGAAUUUGCGGUAUCUGUUCUACCGUAGCCUGUGCGGUACCGCAAAUCAGUUUUAA